CCCAAAACCUAAUACCCGGGUAUUACCUUCAGGAAGCCCGAAAACCCCAAUUUUUUUUUUUCAUUUUCUGUUUUUUUUUUGGUCUAACUAACUCCAAAACGUUGGAAAAUAGUUCCUACAAAGGUUUUGGACAGUGAUUUUAACCCUAACGCCAAAAACCUUAAACCUUACUAUAGCCCCAUAACCUAAUACCUGGGUAUUUCCUUCAGGAAGCCCGAAGACCCCAAAUAUUUUUUUUUUCAUUUUACAUUUUUUUUGGUGUAACCAACUCCAAAAGGUUUGAAACAUGUUCCUAAAAAGGUUUUGGACAGUGAUUUUAACCCUAACGCCAAAAACCUUAAACCUUACCCUAGCCCCAUAACCUAAUACCUGGGUAUUUCCUUCAGGAAGCCCGAAGACCCCAAAUAUAUUUUUUUUUCUUUUGUUUUUUUUGGUCUAACUAACUCCAAAAGGUUGGAGAGAGUUCCUACAAAGGUUUUGGACAGUGAUUUUAACCCUAACACCAAAAACCUUAAACCUUACCCUAGCCCCAAAACCUAAUACCCAGGUAUUACCUUCAGGAAGCCCGAACACCCCAAAUAUUUUUUUUUUUUAAUUUUACUUUUUUUUUUGGUGUAACCAACUCCCAAAGGUCUUAAACAUGUUCCUUAAAAAAUAUUGGACAGUUAUUUUGACCCUAACGCCAAAAACCUUAAACCUAACCCUAGCCCCAAAACCUAAUACCUGGGUAUUACCUUCAGGAAGCCCGAACACCCCAAAUAUUUUUUUUUCAUUUAUCUUUUUUUUUUUUGUCUAACUUAAUCCCAAAGGUUGGAAAAGAGUUCCUACAAAGGUUUUGGACAGUGAUUUUUACCCUCACGCCCAAAAACCUUAAACCUUACCCUAGCCCCAUAACCUAAUACCUGGGUAUUACCUUCAGGAAGCCCGAACACCCCAAAUAUAUAUUUUUAUUUUUAGGGCCCGAGCGUAGCUGCUAAGCAGCUGCGAGAGCCCUAUUAUUCCCCAAGUGGUUUUUCUUGUUUCUUUAGGGCCCGAGCGUAGCUGCUAAGCAGCUGCGAGAGCCCUCUUGUUCCUGCAUGUUUCCUUCUUUUGUUAUUAUUAUUUUUCCUCCCCUUUGAACUGGAAAAUGGCCCACUUCCCACUGGCGAAAACUCAUGAAAUUUGGCAGGACGACCGGGCCUGGUGAAAAAUUUGAUAUUCCGAAGUCGCCCAAACAAGAAAAUGCAAAAUGGCUCCAUAGCGCCCCCUAAGGUGAAAAAUUCACCUGACGCCUGUACGCUUUGUCAAAAUGACACAAAAAUUGACACACACAUGUAUCUCAAUAAGAUCUACAAAAAAGUCAGUGCGGGCGUAUCUGUCAAAUGUACGGUUAAAGGGUUAUUGCGCAUUUUUUGCCGAUCCGCACACAUUGGAAUUUCGCUAACUCCUCCGAAGGCUUUCGUUCCACCGGCACCACAUUUGCUCAGGCCAAUCUACACUCCAUGGCCAUUAAAAGUUAUUCAAAUCAUGACGCUGCACCCCACGGUUUAGGUUCUAGGGGGCGCCAAAGAUAACACUAAAAUCCACAUAUUUCAAAGUCUUAUAACUUUUUAUUUUUGUCCUCACUGGCCUCCAAGUUUUCUAGGAUGAUGCAAUGUCCAGCCAUCAACACAUUUGUGAAGGAAUUUUUACUCCCCAAAAGAGCGCCCCCCAUGGCAGGAGAAAAAAGUCCAUUUUUUCUUGUCCCCUAAGGUGAAAAUACACAUUGUUGACUGUCACGCCUGUACGCUUUGGCAAAAUGACACAAAAAUUGACAAUCAUGUGUAUCUCAAUUAGAUCUACGAAAAAGUCAAGAGCGCGUAUGUGUAUAAUGUACGGUAAAAGGGCUAUUUUGCAUUUUUUGCCGAUUCGCACAUAUUGGAAUUUCGCUAACUCCUCCUAAGGCUUUCGUCCCACUGACACCAAAUUUGCUCAGGCCAAUCUACACUCCAUGGCCAUUCAAAGUUGUAAAAAUCAUGACGCGGCACCCCACGGUUUACGUUUUAGGGGGCGCCAAAGAUGACCCAAAUAUACAUUACAGUAGACAAAGUAGUUUUGCCCACUGAGUGGCGCCAAAGGGACUUGUCUGUGGAGUCUGUGAGUCACUAUUGGCCGUUUUUGACUACUUUAGAUUUUACCUUUAUAUUUCCUCUUACAAAAUUUUUACCUUGCCUUGCCUGGUAUCAUUUUUUUCAGCACAACCUCACCUGUGUCAAUUUACAGUUAUUUUAUCAUUUUGACAUACUAUAUUUACACAUUGGACCCAAAUUCACACACAAAACAUAAAAUCCGAGUGGAAAAAAGUAACGUUUUUACUGUGAAAACCACAAAUAUGUGUGAUGAACUGUUUUUAAAACUUAAACUUCAAAUAAAAAUUGUAAACUUCAAAACAUAUGCAAAUUUUUAACAAAGAACAUAGUAAUUUACCUCUAUUUACAUCAAAAUGCAGGCAAUGGCCCAGGUGUUCUUUGUAAAAUUAUUUACAAAACACUGUAUAGUCUCACAAAUGUCACUUUUUAUUUAUGCCACUACAAAAAAACAUGAUGUAAAUGAUGCAUGAUGUAAAACAUGAUGUAAAAAACUUGUGUAGAUCCUCCUCUAUGUCAGUCCAUGUGUAAUUUUUCCAUAAUUCUUUGUUUUUUGCAGCAUUUUUGUUAGUGUAACUGCAGAUUGUGCUGACAGUGUCUAUGGCAAAAAAAAAAAAAAACUGAAAAUGCCUCAACAUGAACCCCUGGUGGUCUCUGAGGGUGAAACCUGCUAACUGCUGCAGCUCUGUCAGCUUCAGUCUCCCAUGCAGAGCUCGGAGCGCAUGUGUGGCUCUGCACCCUUAGCAGCGUUGCUAACUCCUCAGUAAGGAAAGCCUGCUUCAUGUCAGAGUCUCUAAACUCCAGAAGAAGUCGAUAAAAGUCACUUUCUUUCUAAAAAACGUCGUUAGGGGGUCUGAAAAGUCAUUGAAUCUAACAACAAAGUCGCUAGGUUUGCAACUACGUGUCCCAGACUGCAUCCCUGCUGAGAGUCCCUCCCUCCCUUCUCAUAUUGCAGGAAGAACGUAAGCGCCCGCCCCUUGUCAAUCAGUCACCAUAUAAUUUUGGAUUGGUUGUUGUGGUGAAGUUUUCCACCAAUAGGAGAGAUGUUGUGGUGUGUUUUUUUUUCCUUUGGCAAGCCUUUUCCGCCUGUAAGACCUGUCGCUAAUGUCUGCAUGCUAUGUUUUCCUGUCUCAUACAGCGCGAUCGAGCGCCGAACGUGAUCAAAAUAAGCAGAAAACAAGUAUCGCGGACAUAAUUUAUCAUAACUCUGGUUUUAUUUGGCCUAUCAACACAAUUUAAAAACUGGUAUAUAGGUUGAGGUCCUCACUUUUGAGAUAAGUUGAAACGGAGAGUCAACGAGGCUCCGUCUUGCAGCUACAUCCGGUUAAAUAUGUCAUGUGACUUGAACGCACACACACACACACACACACACACACAGACACACACACACACGCACACACACACACUCAGAGUCUGGUUUUUAGCACCUGCAAAAACAUGCUAUUUACAUAUUUGACAAGAAUGCAGAGGCUCCUUUUGCCCCUGAAAAAAAUCAAAUUUCAAACACAACUUGACUGGUCAUUUCUCCAAAAGACAACCAUGAAGCUCCAUCCAAACCUGAAGCAGGCAGUUGAUGCAUGUGUACAGUAACCUGAGGGGAGUGAGGUGACUGCUUCUGAGGAGAACAUGAGCAGUGAAGAUUCACCUUAGAGCUAGAACAGAGACGUGCACAUGAUUAUACAGGGGCAGGGGCUCAAGUUUUUACCAGUUGUUUAUACAAUAUGGAAAUUAAUGUGAAAUUAAAAAACAAAGUAUUAAUAGAAAGGUAAUGACUGUCCUGUGUAGGUGACAGUGAUAUCCAAUAGGCUAGGCACUCACGAGGCUGGCUGUGGCAAGUGUAAUUGAAAGCAACACGCACUGGCAGGAAGAACAGCAAACGCCGAUGAAGGAAAAGGGUCUUUGCAGUGAUGGGCGUUACCAGAGAGGGCGAUGGCCAGAGGACACAAAUGGGACGGGGAGGCAGCGCGUUGGGGGGGGGACGCGACACAGCUCGGGCCCGCCAGUGCCCCAACGGGGUCCUAGUUCUUUCUUUCUUUCUUCUUUUUCCUCCCCUUUGAACUGGAAAAUGGCCCACUUCCCACUGGCGAAAACUCAUGAAAUUUGGCAGGAUGACCGGGCCUGGUGAAAAAUUUGAUAUUCCGAAGUCGCCCAAACAAGAAAAUGCAAAAUGACUCCAUAGCGCCCCCUAAGGUGAAAAUUCACACUAUUGACUGUCACGCCUUUACGCUUUGUCAAAAUGACACAAAAAUUGACACACAUAUGUAUCUCAAUAAGAUCUACAAAAAAGUCAGUGCGGGCAUAUCUGUCAAAUGUACGGUUAAAGGGUUAUUCCGCAUUUUUUGCCGAUCCGCACACAUUGGAAUUUCGCUAACUCCUCCGAAGGCUUUCUUUCCACCGGCACCACAUUUGCUCAGGCCAAUCUACACCCCAUGGCCAUUAAAAGUUAUUCAAAUCAUGACGCUGCACCCCACGGUUUAGGUUCUAGGGGGCGCCAAAGAUAACCCUAA